rnacentral:rRNA from 1 species
CAUGCAAGUCGAACGAGAGAAGAGAAGCUUGCUUUUCUGAUCUAGUGGCGGACGGGUGAGUAACACGUGAGCAAUCUGCCUUUCAGAGGGGGAUACCGAUUGGAAACGAUCGUUAAUACCGCAUAAUAUAAUUGAACCGCAUGAUUUGAUUAUCAAAGAUUUAUCGCUGAAAGAUGAGCUCGCGUCUGAUUAGCUAGUUGGUAAGGUAACGGCUUACCAAGGCGACGAUCAGUAGCCGGACUGAGAGGUUGAUCGGCCACAUUGGGACUGAGACACGGCCCAGACUCCUACGGGAGGCAGCAGUGGGGAAUAUUGCACAAUGGAGGAAACUCUGAUGCAGCGAUGCCGCGUGAGGGAAGAAGGUUUUAGGAUUGUAAACCUCUGUCUUCAGGGACGAAAAAUGACGGUACCUGAGGAGGAAGCUCCGGCUAACUACGUGCCAGCAGCCGCGGUAAUACGUAGGGAGCGAGCGUUGUCCGGAAUUACUGGGUGUAAAGGGAGCGUAGGCGGGAUCGCAAGUCAGAUGUGAAAACUAUGGGCUUAACCCAUAAACUGCAUUUGAAACUGUGGUUCUUGAGUGAAGUAGAGGUAAGCGGAAUUCCUAGUGUAGCGGUGAAAUGCGUAGAUAUUAGGAGGAACAUCAGUGGCGAAGGCGGCUUACUGGGCUUUAACUGACGCUGAGGCUCGAAAGCGUGGGGAGCAAACAGGAUUAGAUACCCUGGUAGUCCACGCCGUAAACGAUGAUUACUAGGUGUGGGGGGACUGACCCCUUCCGUGCCGCAGCAAACGCAAUAAGUAAUCCACCUGGGGAGUACGACCGCAAGGUUGAAACUCAAAGGAAUUGACGGGGGCCCGCACAAGCAGUGGAGUAUGUGGAUUAAUUCGAAGCAACGCGAAGAACCUUACCAGGUCUUGACAUCGU